GACGAACGCUGGCGGCGUGCUUAACACAUGCAAGUCGAACGGAAAGGCCCUGCUUUUGGGGGGUGCUCGAGUGGCGAACGGGUGAGUAACACGUGAGUAACCUGCCCUUGACUUUGGGAUAACUUCAGGAAACUGGGGCUAAUACCGGAUAGGAGCUCCUGCUGCAUGGUGGGGGUUGGAAAGUUUCGGCGGUUGGGGAUGGACUCGCGGCUUAUCAGCUUGUUGGUGGGGUAGUGGCUUACCAAGGCUUUGACGGGUAGCCGGCCUGAGAGGGUGACCGGCCACAUUGGGAUUGAGAUACGGCCCAGCCUCAUACGGGAGGCAGCAGUGGGGAAUAUUGUACUAUGGGCGGAAGCCUGAUGCAGCACAGCCGCGUGCGGGAUGACGGCCUUCGGGUUGUAAACCGCUUUCGCCUGUGACGAAGCGUGAGUGGCGGUACCGGGUAAAGAAGCACCGGCUAACUACGUG
rnacentral:rRNA from 1 species